rnacentral:misc_RNA from 1 species
GAAAAUUCAAGAAUAUAAUUAAAAAAAAAGAAUAUUGAAAAUGUUAAAAAAUAUGUAGUUUAUAGAUAUUUUUCAAGGUAUUAGAAGAAAAUUAGAUGAAAUUAUAUUUUAAGAGGUUUAUUUAAUUUUGCAUUAGAAAUAGAAGAUUAUGUCAGAAAAAUAAAGAAUAUUAUAAGAAAUUAAAUAAUAAUGUUUUAUAUUUUUAUGUGAAAAUAUG